CAGCCGCCACGGUAAUACAGAGGGGGCUAGCGUUGUUCGGAAUUACUGGGCGUAAAGCGCACGUAGGCGGCUUGGUAAGUUAGAGGUGAAAGCCCAGGGCUCAACCCUGGAAUUGCCUUUAAGACUGCCGAGCUAGUAGGUGAGAGAGGUAAGUGGAAUUCCGAGUGUAGAGGUGAAAUUCGUAGAUAUUCGGAAGAACACCAGUGGCGAAGGCGGCUUACUGGCUCAUUCUAGACGCUCAUGCACGAAAGCGUGGGGAGCAAACAGGAUUAGAUACCCGUGUAGUCCCUGUCUCUUAUAC
rnacentral:rRNA from 1 species